rnacentral:rRNA from 1 species
ACGCUGGCGGCGUGCCUAAUACAUGCAAGUCGAGCGGACAGAUGGGAGCUUGCUCCCUGAUGUUAGCGGCGGACGGGUGAGUAACACGUGGGUAACCUGCCUGUAAGACUGGGAUAACUCCGGGAAACCGGGGCUAAUACCGGAUGGUUGUUUGAACCGCAUGGUUCAAACAUAAAAGGUGGCUUCGGCUACCACUUACAGAUGGACCCGCGGCGCAUUAGCUAGUUGGUGAGGUAACGGCUCACCAAGGCAACGAUGCGUAGCCGACCUGAGAGGGUGAUCGGCCACACUGGGACUGAGACACGGCCCAAACUCCUACGGGAGGCAGCAGUAGGGAAUCUUCCGCAAUGGACGAAAGUCUGACGGAGCAACGCCGCGUGAGUGAUGAAGGUUUUCGGAUCGUAAAGCUCUGUUGUUAGGGAAAAACAAGUACCGUUCGAAUAGGGCGGUACCUUGACGGUACCUAACCAGAAAGCCACGGCUAACUACGUGCCAGCAGCCGCGGUAAUACGUAGGUGGCAAGCGUUGUCCGGAAUUAUUGGGGCGUAAAGGGCUCGCAGGCGGUUUCUUAGUCUGAUGUGAAACCCCCGGCUCAACCGGGGAGGGUCAUUGAAACUGGGGAACUUGAGUGCAAAAAAGA